rnacentral:rRNA from 1 species
UACGGAGGGGACUAGCGUUGUUCGGAAUUACUGGGCGUAAAGCGCACGUAGGCGGAUGUGUCAGUCAGGGGUGAAAUCCCGGAGCUCAACUUCGGAACUGCCUUUGAUACAGCACGUCUUGAGUCCGGAAGAGGUGGGUGGAAUUCCUAGUGUAGAGGUGAAAUUCGUAGAUAUUAGGAAGAACACCGGUGGCGAAGGCGGCCCACUGGUCCGGUACUGACGCUGAGGUGCGAAAGCGUGGGGAGCAAACAGG